AACGAACGCUGGCGGCAGGCCUAACACAUGCAAGUCGAGCGCGCCUUCGGGUCUUUUGCGGUCGGGUGGGUAACGCGUGGGAAUAUGCCCUUAUCUACGGAGUAGUCCUGGGCACCUUGGGGUAAUACCGUAUAAGCCCUUGGGGGGUAUGGUUUAUCGUGGACGGGUUAGGCCGGGUUGGAUUGGGUAGUUGGUGGGGUAAUGGCCUACCAGGCCGAGGAUCCAUAGCUGGUUUGAGAGGAUGAUCAGCCACACUGGGACUGCGACACGGAUCAGACUAUUACGCGAGGCAGCAGUGGGGAAUCUGCGACAACGCGGGCAGACCUGAGGUAGCCAUGGCGUGGUAGUGAUGAAGCCCUUAGGGUUGUGAAGCUGUUUUAGCUGGGAAGGUAAUGACGGUACCAGCAGAAGAAGCCCCGGCUAACUCCGUG
rnacentral:rRNA from 1 species